rnacentral:rRNA from 1 species
UGAGCAAUCUGCCCUUCUCAUCGGAAUAACCAUUGGAAACGUUGGCUAAUACCGAAUAUGACUUCGGAUCGCAUGAUCUGAAGUGGAAAGCUCCGGCGGUGAAGGAUGAGCUCGCGGCCUACCAGCUUGUUGGUGAGGUAAUAGCUCACCAAGGCGA